rnacentral:rRNA from 1 species
UACGGAGGGUGCAAGCGUUGUCCGGAUUUAUUGGGUUUAAAGGGUGCGUAGGCGGUCCGUUAAGUCCGGGGUGAAAGCCCACUGCUCAACAGUGGAACUGCCCUGGAAACUGGCGGACUUGAGUACAGACGAGGGUGGCGGAAUGGAUGGUGUAGCGGUGAAAUGCAUAGAUACCAUCCAGAACCCCAAUUGCGAAGGCAGCUGCCUAGACUGUAACUGACGCUGAGGCACGAAAGCAUGGGGAGCGAACAGG